UACGAAGGGGGCUAGCGUUGCUCGGAAUCACUGGGCGUAAAGGGUGCGUAGGCGGGUCUUUAAGUCAGUGGUGAAAGCCUGGAGCUCAACUCCAGAACUGCCAUUGAAACUGCAAGACUUGAGUACGAGAGAGGUGAGUGGAAUUCCCAGUGUAGAGGUGAAAUUCGUAGAUAUUGGGAAGAACACCGGUGGCGAAGGCGGCUCACUGGCUCGUAACUGACGCUCAGGCGCGACAGCGUGGGGAUCAAACAGG
rnacentral:rRNA from 1 species